CCUACGGGAGGCAGCAGUGGGGAAUAUUGCACAAUGGGCGCAAGCCUGAUGCAGCAACGCCGCGUGCGGGAUGACGGCCUUCGGGUUGUAAACCGCUUUCAGCAGGGACGAAGCGCAAGUGACGGUACCUGCAGAAGAAGCACCGGCCAACUACGUGCCAGCAGCCGCGGUGAUACGUAGGGUGCAAGCGUUGUCCGGAAUUAUUGGGCGUAAAGAGCUUGUAGGCGGUCUGUUGCGUCGAAAGUGAAAACUCAGGGCUUAACCCUGAGCCUGCUUUCGAUACGGGCAGACUAGAGGAAGGUAGGGGAGAACGGAAUUCCUGGUGGAGCGGUGGAAUGCGCAGAUAUCAGGAGGAACACCGGUGGCGAAGGCGGUUCUCUGGACCUUUCCUGACGCUGAGAAGCGAAAGCGUGGGGAGCAAACAGGCUUAGAUACCCGUGUAGUC
rnacentral:rRNA from 1 species